AGAGCGUAUGGUGGAUGCCUUGGCAUCAGGCGCCGAAGAAGGACGUGACAAGCUGCGAAAAGCUACGGGGAGUUGCAAAUGAACAUUGAUCCGUAGAUAUCCGAAUGCGGGAACGCACCUUAUAGAGAUAUAAGGUAUCGUUACAUGAACACAUAGUGUAACGAGGGGAACCCGGGGAACUGAAACAUCUAAGUACCCGGAGGAAGAGAAAGUAAAACAACGAUUACCUAAGUAGUGGCGAGCGAACGGGUAAGAGCCUAAACCUCAUAUAGAAAUAUGUGAGGGGUUUGGACUCACGCAAAGUUAAUCACGGAAAUAGACGAAGAGCGUUGGAAAGCGCAGCUAAAGAGCGUAAAAGCCGCGUAGUCGAAAUAGAAGUGAUGACGAGUGAAGAUCCAGAGUACCAUCGAGCACGAGAAAUUCGGUGGGAAGGAGGGAGGCCCAUCUCCUAAGGCUAAAUACGACCUGAUGACCGAUAGAGUAUAGUACCGUGAGGGAAAGGUGAAAAGCACCCCGGGAGGGGAGUGAAAGAGAACCUGAAACCGUAUGCUUACAAGCAGAGAGAGCGCAACGACUUCGGUCAAGCGUGAUCUCGUACUUUUUGUAGAACGGGCCGGCGAGUUACGAUGUGUUGCGAGGUUAAGGUAUAAAGUACCGGAGCCGAAGCGAAAGCGAGUCUGAAGUGGGCGAGUUAGUAGCAUGUCGUAGACCCGAAACCAGAUGAUCUAUCCAUGAGCAGGAUGAAGCAGAAGUAAAAUUUUGUGGAGGUCCGAACCGACCCCUGUUGAAAUAGUGGCGGAUGACUUGUGGUUAGCGGAGAAAUUCCAAUCGAACCCGGAUAUAGCUGGUUCUCCUCGAAAUAGCUUUAGGGCUAGCCUCAACGUGAGAAUAUCGGGGGUAGAGCACUGAAUGGGCUAGGGGCCUUCGCGGGUUACCGAACCUUAUCAAACUGCGAAUACCGAAUAUUUAUAGUUGGGAGUCAGACGGCGUGAGAUAAGUUUCGUCGUCAAAAGGGAAACAGCCCAGAUCUACAGCUAAGGUCCCCAAGUUAAGGUUAAGUGGUAAAGGAUGUGGCAUUGCACAGACAACCAGGAUGUUGGCUUAGAAGCAGCCACACAUUCAAAGAGUGCGUAAUAGCUCACUGGUCGAGUGACGCUGCGCCGAAGAUUCCCGGGGCUAAAACCUUACACCGAAGCUUAGGAUUCAUAGAGAUAUGAGUGGUAGAGGAGCAAUGUAUGCGCGCAGAAGCCGUAUCGAAAGGGGCGGUGGAGUGCAUACAAGAGAGAAUGCCGGCAUAAGUAGCGAGAGAGAAGUGAGAAACUUUUCCGUCGAAAGCCUAAGGUUUCCUGGGGAAGGUUCGUCCGCCCAGGGUAAGUCGGGACCUAAGUUGAGGCCGAAAGGCGUAGAUGAUGGACAACGGGUAGAUAUUCCCGUACCACCGCAAUAGUUCGAAGCAGGGACACAGAAGGAUAGUCGGACUCCGGGGAUGGAAAGCCGGGGCUAAGUCAUGAGGCCGGCACGUAGUGAAGUACGCGUGUCGCGAGGCUGGGUGACGAUGGGGAGCGAAAACUAGUAGCGAAGCCGAUGAAUUCACGCUGGCGAGAAAAACUGCUAAGGUAGAUAUUGAGGUGCCCGUACCGCAAACCGACACAGGUAGGCGGCAAGAGAAUUGCAAGACGAACGGGAUAACCAUUGGUUAAGGAACUCGGCAAAAUGACCCCGUAACUUAGGGAGAAGGGGAGCCUAGCGAUAGGUCGCAGUGAAAAGGCCCAGGCGACUGUUUAUCAAAAACACAGGUCUCUGCAAAAGCGUAAGCUGAAGUAUAGGGGCUGACGCCUGCCCGGUGCUGGAAGGUCAAGGGGAAGAGUUAGGAGAAAAUCCGAAGCUUAGAACUUAAGCCCCAGUGAACGGCGGCCGUAACUAUAACGGUCCUAAGGUAGCGAAAUUCCUUGUCAGGUAAGUUCUGACCCGCAUGAAUGGCGUAACGAUUUGGGCGCUGUCUCAACCAUGGACCCGGCGAAAUUGUAGUAUAUGUGAAGAUGCAUAUUACCUGCGACUGGACGGAAAGACCCCGUAGAGCUUCACUGUAAGUUGAUAUUGAAUUUCGGUAAUAAAUGCACAGGAUAGGUGGGAGGCUGAGAAGAUGCUGCUUCGGCAGUAUCGGAGCCGACGUUGGGAUACCACCCUUUUGUUACUGGACUUCUAACGCUAUGCGCUGAGUCGCGGUGGCGGACAUUGUCAGCUGGACAGUUUGACUGGGGCGGUCGCCUCCUAAAGAGUAACGGAGGCGUUCAAAGGUUCCCUCAGGAUGGUUGGAAACCAUUCACAGAGUAUAAAGGCAGAAGGGAGCUUGACUGCGAGACCAACAAGUCGAGCAGAUACGAAAGUAGGACUUAGUGAUCCGGCGGUAGAGAAUGGAAUUGCCGUCGCUUAACGGAUAAAAGUUACCUCGGGGAUAACAGGCUUAUCUCUCCCAAGAGUUCACAUCGACGGGGAGGUUUGGCACCUCGAUGUCGGCUCGUCACAUCCUGGGGCUGUAGCAGGUCCCAAGGGUUCGGCUGUUCGCCGAUUAAAGUGGCACGCGAGCUGGGUUCAGAACGUCGUGAGACAGUUCGGUCCCUAUCCAUCGUGGGCGUAGGAUAUUUGAAAGGAUCUGUCCCUAGUACGA
rnacentral:rRNA from 1 species